rnacentral:rRNA from 1 species
GAUGAACGCUGGCGGCGUGCCUAAUACAUGCAAGUCGAGCGAACGGACGAGAAGCUUGCUUCUCUGAUGUUAGCGGCGGACGGGUGAGUAACACGUGGAUAACCUACCUAUAAGACUGGGAUAACUUCGGGAAACCGGAGCUAAUACCGGAUAAUAUUUUGAACCGCAUGGUUCAAAAGUGAAAGACGGUCUUGCUGUCACUUAUAGAUGGAUCCGCGCUGCAUUAGCUAGUUGGUAAGGUAACGGCUUACCAAGGCAACGAUGCAUAGCCGACCUGAGAGGGUGAUCGGCCACACUGGAACUGAGACACGGUCCAGACUCCUACGGGAGGCAGCAGUAGGGAAUCUUCCGCAAUGGGCGAAAGCCUGACGGAGCAACGCCGCGUGAGUGAUGAAGGUCUUCGGCUCGUAAAACUCUGUUAUUAGGGAAGAACAUAUGUGUAAGUAACUGUGCACAUCUUGACGGUACCUAAUCAGAAAGCCACGGCUAACUACGU